rnacentral:rRNA from 1 species
CGCGAAGAACCUUACCAGGUCUUGACAUCCCGCUGACCGCCUAGGAGACUAAGAUUUCCCUUCGGGGACAGCGGUGACAGGUGGUGCAUGGUUGUCGUCAGCUCGUGUCGUGAGAUGUUGGGUUAAGUCCCGCAACGAGCGCAACCCUUGUUAUUAGUUGCCAGCAUUAAGUUGGGCACUCUAAUGAGACUGCCGGUGACAAACCGGAGGAAGGUGGGGAUGACGUCAAGUCAUCAUGCCCCUUAUGACCUGGGCUACACACGUGCUACAAUGGGCAGUACAACGAGAAGCGAGCCUGCGAAGGCAAGCGAAUCUCUGAAAGCUGUUCUCAGUUCGGACUGCAGUCUGCAACUCGACUGCACGAAGCUGGAAUCGCUAGUAAUCGCGGAUCAGCACGCCGCGGUGAAUACGUUCCCGGGUCUUGUACACACC